rnacentral:rRNA from 1 species
AACCCAAAGCUUCUGACUGAAGCCCCAGUAAACGGCGGCCGUAACUAUAACGGUCCUAAGGUAGCGAAAUUCCUUGUCGGGUAAGUUCCGACCUGCACGAAUGGUCUAAUGAGUUGGACACUGUCUCUACCACGAGCUCGGUGAAAUUGUAGUAUCGGUGAAGAUGCCGGUUAAUCGCAACGGGACGGAAAGACCCCGUGAACCUUCACUACAACUUAACAUUGAUUUUGAACAACAGAUGUGUAGGAUAGUUGGGAGACUAUGAAGCAGCUUCGCCAGGAGUUGUGGAGUCAACGUUGAAAUACCAACCUUCUGUUGUUUAGAGUCUAACCUUGUAAGAGGGACAUUGUUUGGUGGGUAGUUUGACUGGGGUGGUCGCCUCCUAAAAAGUAACGGAGGCUCGCAAAGGUACCCUCAGUACGGUUGGUAAUCGUACGCAGAGCGCAUUAGUAAAAGGGUGCUUGACUGUGAGGCCGACAAGCCGAGCAGGAGCGAAAGCUGGCUAAAGUGAUCCGGUGAUUCUGCAUGGAAGGGUCAUCGCUCAAAGGAUAAAAGGUACUCCGGGGAUAACAGGCUGAUCUCCCCCAAGAGCUCAUAUCGACGGGGAGGUUUGGCACCUCGAUGUCGGUUCGUCACAUCCUGGGGCUGGAGAAGGUCCCAAGGGUUCGGCUGUUCGCCGAUUAAAGUGGCACGUGAACUGGGUUCAGAACGUCGCAAGACAGUUCGGUCCCUAUCUGUUGUGAUCGUUAGUAAAUUGCGGGGACAUGACCUUAGUACGAGAGGACCGGGUCGUACGUACCGCUGGUGUAUCAGUUGUGCCGCCAGGUGCAGUGCUGAGUAGCUAUGUACGGAAAGGAUAAACGCUGAAAGCAUCUAAGCGUGAAACCUACCUCAAGAUGAGUUUACUUUUAAGGGCCGUCGGAGACUACGACGUUGAUAGGCUACAGGUGUAAGGGUGGUAACAUCGAAGCCGAGUAGUACUAAUUGCCCGUAAGCUUUAAUUUU